AACUUGAUAGCGCGUGAUUUCAUCGUUGGUAUUGGAUGUUUGGAUACCAAAAACCGCCAUGUCGCUCCCUUUCGUGACAUAUUUGCAAAUGUAUUUAAUUGACUUGACCGAAUUGCAAUCACUUGGCAUGCGCUCUAAAGCAGUCUUGAACAGCCUGACCAAUGCAUGAUGUUCAUGAAGCAUUUGCUGUAGAUCUUGGAGAAUUGCUCUCUUCGUAGCUGUGUUGAUCCUUUGACGCCUGUCAAGAUGUUUUUCCAUAUUGCCCAUAUUGCAAGAAUUUAUGCUGUGCAUCUUCUAUAGGUUGCAAUGAUCCAAUGCGAUGGUAAUAGGAUUUUCAUACAAGCACUUUGUGGUAAACGAUAUUCUUUGUUUUUUGGUCAGGCACAAGAACAAAUAAAGCGGAUGGUUUGCCGACACGUGAGCAUGCCACGUACAAUUGACCAUGAGAAAAACAUUCAUUUUCUAGAUUGAGGCCACAAAUAGUCAUGGAUU
rnacentral:lncRNA from 1 species